UUGCAAGCUUAUUUGAAAAUCAAUCUCAUUGUUGUCUCUCCUUCUUGUGUUGUUAAUGAAUGUUUUAGGUGUUUGAACCUGACAUUUAAUUGGUCCUUCGAGCCGGAUCCCAACAUACAGGAGGAUUUCCUCUGGGUGAGGUGAACCGGGUGAAAAGUCAGUGAUCACUGCAUUCAGAUCCUUUUCCAAGGGCCUAGUCCAUCUCGCCUCUGGGUUUCUGACUGUUGACGGGAAGUCCGAGGGAGGUUUGACAGCAGUGGUGAGUGGAUUUGUUUUUUUUAAAGGUAUAAAUGAGUACCUGAGAGGUAUUGCGCAUAGAAGGGAUAACGGAGUCCGAGAAAGUCCGUGAUAACAAACCCUAUCAUCCUUGGCACUGAUAGGUACACUAAGGGGUAACAGAGCCCAAAAGGUCUGUGAAUUGAAGGGGUAACAGAGCCCAAAAGGUCUGUGAAUCGAAGGGGUAACAGAGCCCAAAAAGUCUGUGUAGAAAAAAAACAAAGUAGGAUAACGGCAUCCUGAUAAUAGGCCGUGUAAUUCGAGUAUAGGGCGGCAGAGUCCUACAAAACUAAUGUCUGCAUUGUGUGUUUGUGUGUUUUGUGUGUAUGACUGGAAAAUUAAAUACCACUCGGUAUUUUCUUUUCAUUUAAAAACAGUGGGAUUGUAAGUAACAAGCCUUUGUGGAGGUCUAGCAAGAAUUCUCCACUCGAAAGAGUUGAAGUGAGAAUUACCACAACAGGUAUUUUAUUGUUACCCCACGGUGUAAAACUCCCAGCCUAUAGAACACCCUAUGUGUUACAGGACUGGAUCAAAUUUAUAAAAAUGGGAAAGGAACAAAGGAAAACGUUGAAACAGCUCCAGAGUAAAGACUGGAAAUUCAUUGAACAGCAGGACCCUGAUAAAAUAAAACCUUUAGCUUCAUGGGUAAAAUAAUACAAUGCAGGUUUAAGGGGUGAUUUAACAAACAAAAAUAGCUAAAAUUCCAGGAAGGUAUUAUCAAUAAAUGAAGAGAUUUAAAAGGGGAUCCCACAGAAACAAUUUGGGAGUCUUUGAAAAUACAGCGGUUAGUCAAGGAGGUAUUUAAAGUACCGUAGAAAAAAGAAAAGAAAAACAAAGUGUCGCAGAAGACUCUUUUCGCGCAAGCUGUCUGUCUGAUAUGUUUUUGUUUUUGUUAUAUCUUGUCCAAUGUAAUGUGUCGUUUAAUGGGAUCAUUGUAUGAAAGGAGAGAAUGUUUGAACCCACAGCGCUUGAGAGUGUGUGUGCGCGCGAGUGGGUCUGUGUGUGUAAAUCUGCGUAUAUGUGUGUGCAUAUAUGUGUGUGCGUAUGUUUGGCUCAGAAUAGCGUCUGAGUGGAGAGAUUUACAGUGGAAAAGUACUGUGUGGAGUUGAUCUGCAUGAAGGGAGAAUUUGGCCAGAAUAGUGGUAAAAAGUUAUUAUAGUUGAUAUUUGGCAGGGGAUUAAACAUUUCUUUGAGACAACUGAAAAAGAAAAAAGAAAAAUAUAUAUUUUUUUUGGUACAAGCAUAAUUUUAACUAGUGUCAUUUAUUGCAAAAUUGCAUAUUAAGAUUCCCAAAUGAGCUUUAAUACUUUGAGUAAU